AAGGGGCGAAGGAAGCAUGAUAUAGCCGACCAGUUAUGCGGAACUGAAAGGUGGACUUGGGGAAAUGAAGUUGCAGUCUGUGGUCCUGUUUGCCCUGUGUUGUAGGACAAAAUCUGAAGAAGCUUCUUCUCUGCACAUCAACUGAAAUUAAGAAGAUGUUUGAGAACAUCAAAAAUGACAGUCAGAAUACAGCAAUGGAAAAUAAGACUGCUGGUUGUCCAAGAGUGACAUUAACCCCAUCAUAAAUUACCUUCUUGAAAAACAAAAAAAAGACAGACUGAGAGGAAGGGUUUCAAUGAUGGCACAGACUCAAUUAUAGGUCUACCAGCUACCCCAACCAAAGAAGUUUCUGUAAAGAAAGGAGUACUUCCAACCCAGCUCUGUUUCGUUAUACUGUGCAUAUGGCAGAAGUGGUAUAAGGAAAUAAUAUAAUUGACAGCAACAACAACAAAAAAUUAUGAAUUUUUCCAUUGAUUGGUGGUGGAGGGGAUAAUAUUGUUGUCAGUUUGAGAAGUAGAAGAAAAAGUAAAUGACUCGGAUCAAAGACCUUUUCUGAACAGAUUGAGAAAACA
rnacentral:lncRNA from 1 species